CAGUAGCCGCGGUAAUACGAAGGGGGCUAGCGUUGUUCGGAAUUACUGGGCGUAAAGCGCACGUAGGCGGGUAUUUAAGUCAGGGGUGAAAUCCCAGAGCUCAACUCUGGAACUGCCUUUGAUACUGGGUAUCUUGAGUAUGGAAGAGGUGAGUGGAAUUCCGAGUGUAGAGGUGAAAUUCGUAGAUAUUCGGAGGAACACCAGUGGCGAAGGCGGCUCACUGGUCCAUUACUGACGCUGAGGUGCGAAAGCGUGGGGAGCAAACAGGAUUAGAUACCCCAGUAGUCCCUGUCUCUUAUAA
rnacentral:rRNA from 1 species